CUUUCCCUCUGGCGGCAGGCCUAACACAUGCAAGUCGAGCGGAUGAAGGGAGCUUGCUCCUGGAUUCCGCGGCGGACGGGUGAGUAAUGCCUAGGAAUCUGCCUGGUAGUGGGGGAUAACGUCCGGAAACGGGCGCUAAUACCGCAUACGUCCUGAGGGAGAAGGUGGGGGAUCUUCGGACCUCACGCUCUCAGAUGAGUCUAGGUCGGAUUAGCUAGUUGGUGGGGUAAAGGCCUACCAAGGCGACGAUCCGUAACUGGUCUGAGAGGAUGAUCAGUCACACUGGAACUGAGACACGGUCCAGACGCCUACGGGAGGCAGCAGUGGGGAAUAGUAGACAAUGGGCGGAAGCCUGGUCCAGCCAUGCCGCGUGUGUGAAGGAGGUCUUCGGAUUGUAAAGCACUUUAAGUUGGGAGAAAGGGCAGUAAGUUAAUACCUUGCUGUUUUGACGUUACCAACAGAAUAAGCACCGGCUAACUUCGUG
rnacentral:rRNA from 1 species